GAUGAAGAACGUAGCGAAAUGCGAUAAGUAAUGCGAAUUGCAGAAUUCAGUGAAUCAUCGAAUCUUUGAACGCACAUUGCGCCCGCCAGUAUUCUGGCGGGCAUGCCUGUCUGAGCGUCGUUUCGACCCUCGCGCCCGGCUUCUGUCGGGGGCGGUGUUGGGGAUCGGCCACACCCUUCAGUGGGAGGCCGGCCCCUAAAUUCAGUGGCGACCACGCUGUAGCCUCCCCUGCGUAGUACUAAAACCACCUCGCAGGCGGAGAGCGGUGCGGCCCGCCGUAAAACCCCCCAACUUUUACAAGGUCGACCUCAGAUCAGGUAGGAAUACCCGCUGAACUUAAGCAUAUCAAAAGCGGAGGA
rnacentral:misc_RNA from 1 species